UACGAGGGGGCAAGCGUUGUUCGGAAUUAUUGGGCGUAAAGAGCGUGUAGGCGGCUGGGUAGGUCUGCUGUGAAAACUCGAGGCUCAACCUCGAGACGUCGGCGGAAACCCUCCAGCUAGAGUCCGGAAGAGGAGAGUGGAAUUCCUGGUGUAGCGGUGAAAUGCGCAGAUAUCAGGAAGAACACCCGUGGCGAAAGCGGCUCUCUGGGACGGUACUGACGCUGAGACGCGAAAGCGUGGGGAGCAAACAGG
rnacentral:rRNA from 1 species